rnacentral:rRNA from 1 species
ACGACUCUCGGCAAUGGAUAUCUUAGUUCUCGCAUCGAUGAAGAACGUAGCAAAAUGUGAUACUUGGUGUGAAUUGCAGAAUCUUGUGAACCAUCAAGUCUUUGAACGCAAGUUGUGUCCCAGGCCACACGGCCGAGGGCACGUCUGCCGGGACGUCACGC